rnacentral:tRNA from 1 species
GCCUGGGUGGCUCAGUCGGUAAGCGUCUGACUUCGGCUCAGGUCAUGAUCCCACGGUUCGUGGGUUUGAGUCCCGUGUCUGGCU